AGUGGAAUAGCUGGGUCAUAUGGUGGAUAUGUUCCUAUUCUUUUGAGGAAUCUCAGCAUUGCUUUCCAAAGUGGUUGUACUAAUUUGCAGUCCCACCAACAAU
rnacentral:pre_miRNA from 1 species